AAUUCUUAAUUAAAUCAGUUUUGGAGUGAUUCUUAUGACAACAACGAAGAAAAACCAUACACAACUGAAUAACUUUUACUUUAGCUAUUUUAGAUAGGUUUGUAUUCAUAACAUUAUGGGUACAGACAACAAACGUUUGUAUCUAUAAUGGCUAGGGAAAUUUAAGAUGACUUUCAGCCAUGUAGAUUUAAGAAAAUCUAUAGUGGCUUUUAUAUUGCUUUUUUGUAGGGUAUUCACUGUAGAUUUUUCUUAAAAUUUACUGUGAAUAUCCUUUU
rnacentral:misc_RNA from 1 species